CAGUCGCCGCGGUAAUACGGAGGGCGCGAGCGUUACCCGGAUUUACUGGGCGUAAAGGGCGUGUAGGCGGCCUGGGGCGCCCCAUGUGAAAGGCCACGGCUCAACCGUGGAGGAGCGUGGGAUACGCUCAGGCUAGAGGGUGGGAGAGGGUGGUGGAAUUCCCGGAGUAGCGGUGAAAUGCGCAGAUACCGGGAGGAACGCCGAUGGCGAAGGCAGCCACCUGGUCCACUUCUGACGCUGAGGCGCGAAAGCGUGGGAGCAAACCGGAUUAGAUACCCGCGUAGUCCCUGUCUCUUAUACA
rnacentral:rRNA from 1 species